rnacentral:rRNA from 1 species
CUACGGGAGGCAGCAGUGGGGAAUAUUGGACAAUGGGCGAAAGCCUGAUCCAGCCAUGCCGCGUGAGUGAUGAAGGCCUUAGGGUUGUAAAGCUCUUUUGUCCGGGAGGAUAAUGACCGUACCGGAAGAAUAAGCUCCGGCUAACUUCGUGCCAGCAGCCGCGGUAAUACGAAGGGAGCUAGCGUUGUUCGGAAUUACUGGGCGUAAAGCGCAUGCAGGCGGAUCGUUAAGUCGGGGGUGAAAUCCCAGGGCUCAACCCUGGAACUGCCUUCGAUACUGGCGACCUUGAGUCCGGGAGAGGUGAGUGGAACUCCGAGUGUAGAGGUGAAAUUCGUAGAUAUUCGGAAGAACACCAGUGGCGAAGGCGGCUCACUGGCCCGGUACUGACGCUGAGAUGCGAAAGCGUGGGGAGCAAACAGGAUUAGAAACCCUAGUAGUCC